GGGUUUACCCAUUGGUCAGGCUUAAUUGUCUGCACUGGUGAGAUGAAUCUCUACCUUCUGAGGAACUUUCAUGCCAUUUAUUUGGUGUGAUGGGAAAUCAGGACUUGUUACUUUGAAAAAAUUAGAGUGUUUAAAGCAGGCUAACGUCUGAAUACAUUAGCAUGGAAUAAUGAAAUAGGACGGACUGAUUCUAUUUCGUUGGUUUCUAGGAUCACCGUAAUG
rnacentral:rRNA from 1 species